rnacentral:rRNA from 1 species
CUACGGGGCGCUCCAGUGGGGAAUAUUGCACAAUGGGCGUAAGCCUGAUGCAGCCAUGCCGCGUGUAUGAAGAAGGCCUUCGGGUUGUAAAGUACUUUCAGCGGGGAGGAAGGGAGUAAAGUUAAUACCUUUGCUCAUUGACGUUACCCGCAGAAGAAGCACCGGCUAACUCCGUGCCAGCAGCCGCGGUAAUUCGGAGGGUGCAAGCGUUAAUCGGAAUUACUGGGCGUAAAGCGCACGCAGGCGGUUUGUUAAGUCAGAUGUGAAAUCCCCGGGCUCAACCUGGGAACUGCAUCUGAUACGGGCAAGCUUGAGUCUCGUAGAGGGGGGUAGAAUUCCAGGUGUAGCGGUGAAAUGCGUAGAGAUCUGGAGGAAUACCGGUGGCGAAGGCGGCCCCCUGGACGAAGACUGACGCUCAGGUGCGAAAGCGUGGGGAGCAAACAGGAUUAGAUACCCGAGUAGUC